CUCCCUGUGGCUCAGUUGGUAGAGCAUGGUGUUUGCAAUGGUGUUUGCAACGCCAGGGUUAUGGGUUCGAUUCCCACGGGGGGC
rnacentral:tRNA from 1 species